AUGGCCGGAGGGUCUGCCGCGCGGCGACGCAAUGAGCGCCGUGAGGAAAGUCCGGGCAACAAAGAGCACCAUAUUUGCUAACGGCAAGCUAUCGGCAACGGUAGAGACAAUGUGACAGAAAAUAACCGCCAACGCGCGCUCCGGCGCGCACGGCAAGGGUGAAAAGGCGAGGCAAGAGCUCACCGGGCGCGACGGCGACAUCGCGCGCCGCACAUCUUAUGGGUUGCAAGGUCAAGUAUACCGGCAUCGAAGGGCUGCUCGUCCAUUGCCGGGGGGUAGACUGCGCAGAUAAAUGGCAGACGGCACGCCGCAAUUCCUCCGAAAGGAGCGAUAAUGCGGCGCCCACAUAACCCGGCUUAUACUCCGACCAUGUUU
rnacentral:RNase_P_RNA from 1 species